ACGGGAUUGGCUCCUGAAUGAACCAAGAGCCUUGACAGCUCCAGCUCUCAAGAUGAAUUGGUGGUAGAAAGCCGCAAUUGCUGCACCGAUGAAGGGUCCAACCCAGAAGAGCCAUUGAUCAUCCCAAGCCUUGUCCUUGUUGUAAAUAACAGCGGCCCCGAGACUCCUUGCUGGGUUAAUGCCAGUGCCAGUGAUUGGGAUUGUGGCCAAGUGUACCAUGAACACAGCAAAUCCAAUGGGGAGCGGUGCCAAAACCUUGAGAAAAUAAUUCCAACAACAAGAAAAUCAGAAUAAAUAAAUAAAUAACUAUGCACUUGUGACAUACCAAAUACCCCCCAUUCAUUCUACACACGUGAAGCCCAUAAUUCAAUCUCAAAAAAGUUAUUAAAAAUGGAAAAAAAAAAUGAAUUAAAAUGAAGAAAAGAAAGAAAGAAAGAAGCAAGCUAGAUUCUUCACGGAGUUUCCCAAAAAAGAAGAAAAGGACAGCAGCAUCCUUGUUGACACAUAAAAGGUGUUUCGCCUUUUAGUCAAAUACAAAAUAAUAAACCCACAUCACAGCCACAGCAUCCGCCCAGGACUCAAAAAAGCUUAUUUAUUAGCUGAAGAAUCUUAUCAGUGAAGGGAAAACGCAAAAGCAAAAGAGACACUUCAAAAAGAAGAAUCUACUUGUUGAUUUUCUGAGAAGAAGCAAAACAACAAAAUUAAUUUUUAGUUUUGGCCCCCCAUGCCCCCAUGCACGUGUUAUAUCUCUGUAGCUCUUUACUUAUGGCCACAAAUUGAUGGACCUUCCUGUUCAUAACAUCGUUACCAAACUACAUAUUUUUAUCUGACGGGUCUAUCUGUUAGAAAAAAGGGAAAUAAAUUCCACUUUCCACUAUCCUAAACUUAUUUUUAAUUUCACUUUCUCACCUCAUUAAAAAUUAAUGUGUUAGUACUGACUACCAACCAAACAUGACAUGAUAAUAAUAGAAGUCUUUUUUAGUAUUUCUACCACCUAUGAAUGAAGUCAAGUGAUCAAUAAAUUGAACAAGGAAAAAUAGCCCACGUAAUUAAUAAUGGAUUGGUGCGUAAUUAAUAAUGGAUUGGUGCAUAAUCAAUGCAAGAUUCAGCGUGGCAAAUUUCCGUUUUUCAAAGGAAAAGACAAGACACAAUAUCACAAAAAUAUUUAAAGAGAUAUUCAUGAAUCAUGGCACGUGUUAUGUGUAUGGUAACUAACAACAACAGAUCAUAACUUGAAGCUUAAAUAGAUAUUAUAAUAAUAAUAAUAAUAAUAAUAAAUAAAUAAAUAAUUUUGUCAAAGGUUGUUAAUUAAUUAAUUAAUUAACUAAUUAGUUAGGCUUACGGGGACAUGGGAGUCUCUGGCGCUUCUCUUGGGAUCAGUGGCCGAGAAGACAGUGUAAACCAACACAAAGGUGCCGAUGAUCUCGGCGGCCAAUCCAACGCCUGUGCUGUACCCAUCGGCCAGCUCGUUGGCCCCACCUCCGUACCUUGUGUAGUAAGAUUUUUGGAAAGCCUUGACCAACCCAACACCGGAGAUUGCACCAAGGCACUGCGCCACCAUGUACAUCACAGCACGGACCAACGACACCUUGCGGGCCAAGAAUAGUCCGAACGUCACUGCCGG
rnacentral:lncRNA from 1 species